GUCUACGGUCAUACCAUCCUGAACACACCACAUGUCAUCUGAUCUCAGAAGCUAAGCAGGGUCGGGCCUGGUUAGUACUUGGAUGGGAGAAAUUACAUUAGACAUGGCAAAAGAAAACACUAGCGAACUAUGGAGA
rnacentral:rRNA from 1 species